AAGCGGAGGAAAAGAAACUAACAAGGAUUCCCCUAGUAACUGCGAGUGAAGCGGGAAAAGCUCAAAUUUAAAAUCUGGCGGUCUUUGACUGUCCGAGUUGUAAUCUAGAGAAGUGUUAUCCGCGCUGGACCGUGUACAAGUCUCCUGGAAUGGAGCGUCAUAGAGGGUGAGAAUCCCGUCUUUGACACGGACUGCCAGGGCUUUGUGAUGCGCUCUCAAAGAGUCGAGUUGUUUGGGAAUGCAGCUCAAAAUGGGUGGUAAAUUCCAUCUAAAGCUAAAUAUUGGCGAGAGACCGAUAGCGAACAAGUACCGUGAGGGAAAGAUGAAAAGAACUUUGGAAAGAGAGUUAAACAGUACGUGAAAUUGCUGAAAGGGAAACGCUUGAAGUCAGUCGCGUUGGCCGGGGAUCAACCUUGCUUUUGCUGGGCGUACUUUCCGGUCGACGGGUCAGCAUCAAUUUUGACCGGUGGAUAAAGGCUGAGGGAAUGUGGCUCCUUCGGGAGUGUUAUAGCCCUUGGUCGCAUACAUCGAUUGGGAUUGAGGAACUCAGCACGCCGAAAGGCCGGGUACUUGUACCACGUUCGUGCUUAGGAUGCUGGCAUAAUGGCUUUAAUCGACCCGUCUUGA
rnacentral:rRNA from 1 species